UGCAAGUCGAGCGGAAGGCCUCUUCUGGGGUACUCGAGCGGCGAACGGGUGAGUAACACGUGAGUAAUCUGCCCUUGGCUUCGGGAUAGCCACCGGAAACGGUGAUUAAUACCGGAUAUGACCACUCCAGGCAUCUGGUGGUGGUGGAAAGUUUUUCGGCCAGGGAUGUGCUCGCGGCCUAUCAGCUUGAUGGUGAGGUAAUGGCUCACCAUGGCUUCGACGGGUAGCCGGCCUGAAAGGGUGACCGGUCACCCUGGGACUGAGACACGGCCCAAACUCCUACGGGAGGCAGCAGUGGGGAAUAUUGGACAAUGGGCGGAAGCCUGAUCCAGCAACGCCGCGUGAGGGAUGACGGCCUUCGGGUUGUAAACCUCUUUCGCCUGUGACGAAGCGCAAGUGACGGUAACAGGUAAAGAAGCACCGGCCAACUACGUGCCAGCAGCCGCGGUAAUACGUAGGGUGCGAGCGUUGUCCGGAAUUAUUGGGCGUAAAGGGCUCGUAGGCGGUUUGUCGCGUCGGGAGUGAAAACCAGGUGCUUAACACCUGGCUUGCUUUCGAUACGGGCAGACUAGAGGUAUUCAGGGGAGAACGGAAUUCCUGGUGUAGCGGUGAAAUGCGCAAAUAUCAGGAGUAACACCGGUGGCGAAGGCGG
rnacentral:rRNA from 1 species